GUGAACGCUGGCGGUAGGCCUAACACCUGCAAGUCGAACGGCAGCACAGUAAGAGCUUGCUCUUACGGGUAGCGAGUGGCGGACGGGUGAGGAAUACAUCGGAAUCUACUUUUUCGUGGGGGAUAACGUAGGGAAACUUACGCUAAUACCGCAUACGACCUACGGGUGAAAGCAGGGGAUCUUCGGACCUUGCGCGAUUGAAUGAGCCGAUGUCGGAUUAGCUAGUUGGCGGGGUAAAGGCCCACCAAGGCGACGAUCCGUAGCUGGUCUGAGAGGAUGAUCAGCCACACUGGAACUGAGACACGGUCCAGACUCCUACGGGAGGCAGCAGUGGGGAAUAUUGGACAAUGGGCGCAAGCCUGAUCCAGCCAUACCGCGUGGGUGAAGAAGGCCUUCGGGUUGUAAAGCCCUUUUGUUGGGAAAGAAAAGCAGCAGGUUAAUACCCCGCUGUUCUGACGGUACCCAAAGAAUAAGCACCGGCUAACUUCGUG
rnacentral:rRNA from 1 species